UUAGAAACAAUGUUGUUACGCAAUGCUGCAUUAUCAUUUCUUAUUCUACUAUUUUUAACAUCCUAUAGCUUUUCUUCCCCUGCUUUAAACAGAACGGAAGAAGAAGACGACUACGAUGGCUUAAUCCCUGAUUUAUACAGUAUAGACUUUAUACAGUCCUUGGAGCCUCAUUUCGAAACGUAAAAUUCAACUUUCACAAAAAUUCGCAAAUACAUGUUCUAAUAAAUA